rnacentral:lncRNA from 1 species
ACUUAAAAAAAAAAGUUAUAAAAAAUGCUUUUUAGAUCGCACUUAAAAAAGAUGCAUCUAAACAUCUCCACCAUAUAGUAAACUUCGAUGCUUCUGAAAAGGUCAUCACACGAACCGCCUGUUAUAUCAAAUCAAUAUAUUGAAAGAAAAACUGUACAAUUAUUUUUAAUUUUUUGACGCUUUAAUAUUUUACCGAUACAUAGCAUAAAUGUCGGUAUAUAUAAAUGUAACGACUCUUUAUUUAUCUAUGCUUUUAAAUGUAACAGUAUACUAUUUUAAAUACUUUUAAGUAUCGUAAAGUAUAAAAAAAAAAAAACUUUAC